rnacentral:rRNA from 1 species
CUCAGGAUGAACGCUGGCGGCGUGCCUAAUACAUGCAAGUCGAACGCUUCACUUCGGUGAAGAGUGGCGAACGGGUGAGUAAUACAUAAGUAACCUGGCAUCUACAGGGGGAUAACUGAUGGAAACGUCAGCUAAGACCGCAUAGGUGUAGAGAUCGCAUGAACUCUAUAUGAAAAGUGCUACGGGACUGGUAGAUGAUGGACUUAUGGCGCAUUAGCUGGUUGGUAGGGUAACGGCCUACCAAGGCGACGAUGCGUAGCCGACCUGAGAGGGUGACCGGCCACACUGGGACUGAGACACGGCCCAGACUCCUACGGGAGGCAGCAGUAGGGAAUUUUCGGCAAUGGGGGAAACCCUGACCGAGCAACGCCGCGUGAAGGAAGAAGUAAUUCGUUAUGUAAACUUCUGUCAUAGAGGAAGAACGGUGGAUAUAGGGAAUGAUAUCCAAGUGACGGUACUCUAUAAGAAAGCCACGGCUAACUACGUGCCAGCAGCCGCGGUAAUACGUAGGUGGCGAGCGUUAUCCGGAAUUAUUGGGCGUAAAGAGGGAGCAGGCGGCACUAAGGGUCUGUGGUGAAAGAUCGAAGCUUAACUUCGGUAAGCCAUGGAAACCGUAGAGCUAGAGUGUGUGAGAGGAUCGUGGAAUUCCAUGUGUAGCGGUGAAAUGCGUAGAUAUAUGGAGGAACACCAGUGGCGAAGGCGACGAUCUGGCGCAUAACUGACGCUCAGUCCCGAAAGCGUGGGGAGCAAAUAGGAUUAGAUACCCUAGUAGUCCACGCCGUAAACGAUGAGUACUAAGUGUUGGGAGUCAAAUCUCAGUGCUGCAGUUAACGCAAUAAGUACUCCGCCUGAGU